GCCCAACGAUCAUUCAAAAUCUGAAGUGAAGGAAUCUAGCAUACCACCAGCUGCUGAACCACCUGAGGACCAGACACCUCUAGUUGAAUCCCUGUCAUCACUGGAUGACUGGUGAAAACACCAGCAUCUGCAGACCAGCCGUCUGUAGUGGAACUGCCAGUGUCUGCAGACCAGCUGGUUGUUGAGAAACCACCAGGUUCUGAGGACCAGUUACCUGUCAUUGAACUUCCCUCAACCAGAGGAAACUCACAUAAGAUCAGAUCACCUGCCAGGUUUCAAAGUCGAGAUAUACAUGUCUGACUCUGCACAGACUGGCAGCGAAACACCUGAGGCUGGGUCAUCGGCAACUGUAGUCAAGCCAACAGACACUACAUGUGAAAUAUUGGAGCAGCCAAUGGUAUAUGAAGACCCCUUUGAAGUCUCCGUUAAGUACAUGGAGAAACAUAAUAUUCUGCAGAUAUUUCAGGAGAUCACAGAAAAACUGGUGUACCACAAGCCUGAUGACCCCUUGCAGUUCAUCCUGCUGCAGGUGCAGUCUAUGAUGAAUGCCAGGCAGGCAAAAAUGGAGGGAAUAUUGGAAGAGAAUGAAGAUACCGACGUGUUUCUGGAAGAGGUCUCGUGCACUCCUUUUGACUCCUACUGACCUUGCUAUUUUGGUAUCGCAUGGGGCCUUCACAGCACCAUGCUUUUGUAAUCAGCAGUAGCUUGGAACAGGUCUGCUUGUAUCUCUGUUUCCUGAUUUUUCUGUUCUGUGUGCUUGUGCUUCCCCUUGGGUUUAAAUCCUGCAACCAAGUAUUGGUUUGGUCGCACAAACUCAAAUCUUAAAGCGUGUGUGGACCUGCAUGCACAUACAGCACGUCUUGAAGAGGCAGGGUUGCUGAACUCUGCAGUCUCUGCAUACAAAUGCAUAAAUCCCACAUUUAGGCCACCUGUAGAUUCUGCUUUUCUGUGCAGGAAAACUUCAUGUCUCAGACAAUGCAAGCACAAAAGCAAAUAGAAUUAAAAAGCAGCCCUGGACGACCCACAGUCCUCUCUUUUUUCAUGAUGCAUUGGUGCCUUACUGUCUCCAGCUAUGCAGCAGCACCAGUGCCCAUCUCAUACUUUGAGAGGCUGGGUCUGUGGCUUUCCCACUGCCCCCAGGGCUCCUCUGAUGCAAGAAACUGUCUCUCUGCCUCUUCCACACACUGGGCACAGCUGCCUUACCCUUAAUCAUCCCUGUUGGGUUCCAACCACUCUGCUUUUUGGGGUUGCCCUGCUUAUAUCAUUGCAAGUACAGUGUAUAUUUUGAUAAACUGAAGCAACAGUUGCAUGCACCGUCUGGGGCUUCAGAAGGCAUUGUCACUCAGGAAUGUGGGAGGUGAAUAAAACCAAACCAAUGAACAAAAAAAGCACUGGUAGCCCAGGAAAUUCAGAGUCAAGGUACACUUUGCAAAAACGUAAUUCAAACUGCUUUUGAUUCUCAAAACACAAUCCUCAUUUUUGUACUAUCCAAGUGUCUGCUUCUUUCCCUGUAAAGAAAGAUGGUCUUUCUUUUUCUUGUCUCUUGCCUGAAGAUUAUUGAAAAUGUGCAACAGAGCAUACUGUUAUUUUGGCUUCAUUUCAUCUGUAUGUACAGUAGAUGCCAGAAAGUUUUUUGUCGCUACAGACUUUUCUCUUUUUUAGGCAAGUGCUCUAAUUUUCUGACGGAUGGUAGUGUAUUCCCAAAUGGCUGUCUCUAUGUCUGUGAAGAGAGCACCAUAGAAACUUAUCUUCCAUCUAUCUAAUUUCAGCUAGAAGUCUGAUGAUUAGGUUGUGUGAUACACCACAGCAGAGCUUGAGCCCGAAGAGUCUGUGAAUAACAGAGGCAAAUAUUUGGCAUACAAAUUCUGUGUCUGAAAAAAGUUGCCUUUCUACCUCAGGUUCUCAAAAAAGAUGAGUUAACUCAUGUGUUUCCAGGCUAAAGGCAGAUAAUCACCCCUGUCAUUCAGGACAGGAAGGUUUUCAAGGUUAUUGUGAGCCUAAAGAUGGCUCAAGAUUCAGACAAAAUCUUCAUGGGUUUUAUAAGAAGUCUGAUGUAGACUUAGGCACCUAGGUCCUGCAGUGAGAUGCUUUGGAAAGCCUUACUUUCUUAAGCAACUGGAAGAAUUGGACACUUAAUGAUAACAGACUGGUUUUGAUCCUGAUAUAUUUUUGAUCAAGAAUUUAUAAGCAUCCCUGUGUACACAUGCCCUGUGAAUGUGAAAGAAGUGCUAAUGCAUCUCUGUGAAACAGGGAAUGCAUGGAAGAUGAAGAUAGCGGCUGAAGUCUUUUCACCUCUAUGGUGAUUUGUUUUCCCAAGAGAUGGAGAAGUUGGCAUGUCUUUGAAUUUUCUUGUGGAACAGGAUUAGGGUGAUUCUGGGUACAGCCUUAGCUGUGAAUUUCCUGCUUCUAUCAUUUGUGUAUUAUAUUUUGUUGUUCUCUUUUACUUAUGAAAAAACUUUGGGCUUGUGGUAUGUUCUCGGACUAUAGGUCUGUGCCCUCAACUUCAUGUCAGCAUUAAGGGAGUUAUGCAAGGAAAUAUCCUUAAUUUCUCUUUCAGAUAAGUUGAAGUGAGAUUGAAAGUAGCCUUUUUACAGAUGACAGAAGAAAGAGAGGCCCUACCCAGUGUUCCUCAGCAAUCGUGGGGCCAAAAUUUUCCUUUCGUGGCCUGGCCACCUUAUCUCAUGCUAAUAAAUUUGCUCCAUGGUAGCAAGAAGUCUUCCACAGUGCAUGUAAGAGAACUGAUCAGAUCUGAGCAAGGGCUUUGACCUUGGGGAACUCAUCAUGAGCUGAGGAGAAAUGUCACCUCCUUCUCCUCAAGCACCUCAAAUGUUUGGAUUGUGUUUUGAACUGCAUUUUUUCAAGGGAAAAAGUUCCAGGACUUAGUUUAAUGAAAACAAAAAAGCAUCCUCCAGAAGGUGUACAGGUUAUUGUGUAACCUAGUGCCACACAGCUGUCCUUUUUGAUUUGCUUCAAAAAUAUACGGCAUGGCUUUUGAAAAAUCCUACCUCACGUUAAGGCACUAAUGCACCACUGCUGUUUGUGUGUAUGAAGGCUUUUCUGUGGUGAAGAAAUGGAGAAAAGUUAUGUUUAAAAUGACAAUAUUUAUUGUAGUCGUAAUUCCAGAAUGACUGUCCCUUUUCCAUAAUUUCUUUCCCAAACCAUUGGAUCUGUGUUUCUUCUUCAUAAGUGGACAUUUAUCAACAUAACAUUAAACUGUCAUUCAAUUUCUUGCCUUGGGUGCUCUGAAGGAAUUAACAGUUGAGUGUGUGUAACCGAAACUAUUCCAUAUAAGUCCUUAUAGCACACUAGUCACAGUAUAUUUGAAUGUCCUCCAGUAGUGUGCUAAGCAACGUGACUAACAUCUGUUGUUUGUUCUUUCUCCUCUCCACAAGGGACAUGUCUGUGCACUGAAGUGCAUUCUUUUUAAGAGGGUGGUUUGUUUUUUUACCCACACCUGUGUACUGCUGUGUCCUUGUAAUGGAUAGGGAUAGGUCAUGGAGUGGAAGGUGAGGAGGUUGGAGGCAGUUUGUAGUUCUCAAGGGUGUUUCCUCUGUAGUUUGAGCUGGGCACUAAGAAAGUGCAGUAUUUUCCCAGGCGAGAUUUCUUGUUGACCCAUGGACUGGCACAGAAGCGUGACAUCCAGUUCAGCUGCCAAAUAGCGUGAACUUGUGGUGUGCAGACCGUUUCUGUUAUGAACCUUGUCCUCCCCCAGAAGCAGGAUGUGGAGGGGCCAACCAGAAGGAAAGUGUACUCAAGGUGUCUUUUGGAUCAAAACAUCAGUUUCUUUUUCUUUCAUCUCUGUAUGGAAUUUAAAAUGACUCAGAUGCCCCAAGCAAUACUAAAGUUGCCUGUGUACUGCAACCAACUGAUGAAAAAAAAAAAAAAAAAAAAGGUUGUAACUGCUGAUUAAAGAUCCUUUGAAAAGUUCACAGAGACUGCUCUGCUUCUUCGAUAGGCAGAGGGCAGAACAGGAUAGCUCUUCAAUGGCCAACUACUUACAGCAUGAGACAUUUCACUGUGACUCACUGCUACAUAACACCAAUGUUUAAUGCCACUGAUUUCAAAGUUUCACAAUCACGUGAAACUCGAAGUAGGCAGCAGUAACUAUUCAGAGCUUGCAUGUCUGAAAUGGAAGAAACUAACCUCUGGGUAGAGCCUGACAAAGAGCUUCACGCAAGACAGAGCUCAAGCUAAAGAAUGUGGGAGAAUGUGGGAGUGCUUAGAAAGGGAAUAUACUGGGGCAAAUUGAUCAAACCCUGUCUGACAUGCCUUCAGGUUGUAUUCAAGGAAAAGCUUCUCUUGACCAUUCUUUCCACCAGAUGAAAUGCAGAAGAAAAAGAAGAAACAUUCCCUUAAGGUCAGGCAUCAAUAUCCAUGGCUGCAUUCCUUUUUUGGGACCUCCUUCAUAGACAACAUUGGUGUAGCAGCAUCACCAAAAGUUUGUGGCCGUGUCUCAACAUGCACAAAUGAAAAGGGGAACCUUGAGUUGUUGAAGUGGCAUGGGUUGGAUCAGGUUGAGUCACUUGCCAUCUUCUCCUGGGGAAAGAUGGUGGGCUGGAAUGUCACUGCAGAACAGCUGAUGUUAGGCAAAGCAAUCCUAAGAGAUUUCUAUACGCAUAAUUCAAGAGUGGAAACGGACUGCAGACGCUGCAGGAGCUGGUCUGUAUUACAAAUGCCUGGUCGGAAUGAAUGGAGUGGCUCUUCCUUUCUCCCUCAAGGAGAUCAUCUCAAUUCCCCAUGCAACUCCUUACAGGAGGGAAGACCUCGCUCACCCUCCUUUGUCCAGACCAUCAGGCACUAGGAAGGUCAUUUCCAUGGCAUAUUCAUCCAGGAGUCUGGGGUAAACUUUCUAUCUUCCAGUGCAGAAAAUAGAAGAAACUGCCAGUGUCAUUUAAUAAACUGCAGUAAAAUAAUACCAAGGAAGAAACAAACUAUGAGAUGGACUCACUGGCAUUUUUUUGCUGUUAUUUACUUUGAGAGCAAAAUUCGCCUCUUGUUCAUGUCACUCAUUAAAUUGUCAAGAGAUGGAUGAACACGGGGCUACACAGAGCUGGACUAAUGAAGGUGCACCAGCUCUCUAGCACAUUUCAUAAAGUAAAAAGGUAGUCAGUGUAGGUGAGGGAGUGCAACACACAGUUUACACUGGCCAUGAAAACUUCACUAUAGACUUACAAGCCUUUAAGGCAAAUGUCUUAUUUGGAAUCACCUGGUCCAACACUUAAAAAUUCUUAUGAACUAGGAGCCAGGAUCCACAUUAUGGUUAAGGAAUUUGUAAGAACAAGAGGUGACCUCUGUCCUUCCUUCUUCCUAUCCCUCAGUUUAUCUUCUAGUAUAAAACAGGAAACAGAGGUGAAUGAAGACGUGGAAUAGCACAGCUGUUUGUUAAUGGGAAAAAUGCAUGUUAUACCAGCCCUUGAAGAAAAACAGUUCCCACCUUGAGGAGCUUUUGGUGUUUGGACAGAUGAGUAGAUAUUAGGGAGAAGGCUAUAUUAAAUGCAGUCAAGUGCUCAGAGAGCCAAAGAUUUUUAACAGUCACUCAAAGUUGCAUAAACACUGUUAUCACCACAGGAGUCCCUUUGAAGAGCAGUGAUGACUGCUCUAUCCCGCUAUUGUUUAAGCAUCCCCUUGGGUCUAGCAUAAUAUCCUGUCUCUUUGCGAGCAGAUUCAGGGGAGGACAGUGUUGCCAGUUUGCUGAAACCCCACAGUAUUGAAAGCAAGUACUGCCUAGUGGAGAACCCAGCUUUUGGCACUGUUGUUUAAAUCUUUGGUAGCAUAACAGCUAUCUUGAGAGACUCCUUGACCACGGAAUGAUGCGGUGAUGCUGAUACGUUUGACAUGGCAGAUAGGAGUGCAUAUGGGAGAAGCUCAGCCUGUUGCUGGGAGUAACACCUCCCUACUUUUUGCCCUUUUAGAUGUCUAAAUGUUUCCAAAUGAAGAGCAAAGCUCUUUAGGAAGGUGAGAACUGGUCAGAGUCCAGAACAACUACAGGUAGAAUUACUUUUCGUAGUUACCUUUCAUAGACCUCUUAGAAGUUGUUCAUAAACAUUCCUGGCUUUUCAGAAAUCAUGUGUUGAAAAACAGUGCUUGAGUAGUAGGUUAAAAAGCAUCUGGAAGAAAAAGGGUGAAACAACUUUUUCUAUGUGUGCCCAUGAGAGGGCAGCACAGACCGGCUGAGCCUUCGCUAAAGGCGAUUAAUCGGUAGGGAGACUAACUCGAGAGUUUAUGUCCAGCCGUGGAGUAGCUACAAGUACAGAACAGGUCCGUGUGAAAGGGUUGGAUGGUCCAAAGCACAUCUCCAUCCAUCGCCCAGCUGAAACUAAAACGCAGGUAUAGCUGGGUGCAGGACUGACUGGGUCAAACCCCAGGUGCAUGACAGGGUUGAAUCUCACAGACUUCUCCGGGUAGUUUCCAAUUAGUUACUGAAACCUUAGAAGAGAGUUUCAGAGGAAGAAUAUCGGACAGUGCCUACAGUUUUGUCAAAGCAAUGAGUCGGUGUGAGACAUCAACCACACCCUUGACAAGGGAGAGCCUGUCACCCGGGAGUGCUAUAAACUCGCCUAAGGCAUGCAUGCUAUUUAUUUCCAUCCCAGUGCUCUUAAACACUGCACCGGCCAACACCCGUCUGCUAUUCCCUUUUCCUUCUCCUACCGAGACUUUUUCGAUGCAGCUUUAACUGUCCUCCCUCUUUCUCUCGGGUGCUACAGCCCUCUGGCAAGGUGGAUGGUUCAGAUGCUGAGAUAAAUGAGACAUGCUUGCCACGCUUGGCUUACAGCAAGGGUGUUGGAAACUAUAUAGUGACAGGCAACCGUAUGUAGAUGGCAGUGCUCCACUGCCAGCACGUCACAGCCUCCCAGAUGAGAGAGAAGCAGCUAAUGCAGAGGAGGAAUGCAGGAUGGAUUUGGGAGGAAUGAGGUAUCCCCAAACACCCUUCAAUAAUGAGCUCUAACAAUUAAUGUGAACAAAUUUCUUUGGCACUUUGCAAACAAGCAGUAAAGGUCCCCAAAUAGGACCUCUUCUUUCUACCAUGUUGUGGCUCAUGACUGACACACACGAUUUUGGAGGAGAGGUUUUUAACCAUUAGCAAGAGCAAUGCAGUCACUGAGUCCAGGCAGAACAGCUUGUUCCCAGUCUGUUAGAUGAAAUUCAGCUGAACCACCAGCACCAAAGGACCAUCACGGUGCCAAGGCCAUUCAGGAGCCAGGAUCACAUCCUAACAGAUAUCUCAACACUGACAUAUGCAGUAUUUCAGAAGCCCUAAAGCCAUCAAACUCACAACCAAGAGCACUACGGAGACACUUUCUAGCAGACUUUCCCUGGACGUCAUCAGCCUUUUAAAAAAACACAAGCAGAGAAUUUCUGCCUUCUCAAAAGUAUUUUCUCCUGCUACAUAUUUUGCAAAAUCCCAGGCAAUCCUUUGCCCAGGUGCAGAUUUCUAGCCUUCUGUGAGCCUUCCCUGUGGUCAGAGCGAGAUGGCCUGCCCUCAUCCAAAGGUGAAAUUCAAUAGGAAACUGCAUUGCAUUUGCUGACCCUUUUAUGCCAUCGAGGGUGUUGGCUGGGCAGCACCAUUCUUGCAGGGCUUGUCUCCCCUUUCCUGACAGGAGAAACUCCUGCUGAUGGGAGGGGAGAUGGGUCAGGGAUUGACCUCAGGGGUCCCCCAGGCUCCUCCGUGUUCCUUUUAUCUUCUGGUCUCUCAGUGUACAAAAAUGUGACCUGUAUGUUGCUGAAAGACAUAGGUGAGUUCAGCAGCUCUAUGAUGCGGGUAUUUUGGUUUGGGUUUUCCUUUGCAGAAAUUAGCCUCGGGCCUGUGAUGAGGAUCUCCCAUGAAUUUCCUUCGCAGUCAUCAGAGUAAGAGAAGCAUCCUUAGGGGGAGAUUUCGAGACCAAAUCCCUCCCAAUAUGUACACGAAAGCACCCUGAGGGCCUUCUUUAUUAAUGGUAGUAGCAGCCAGUAGAGAUUAGCCUUUAUAAACAUCCACUAUUUCUCUAAACUUUUGAGUUGAGACCACUGAGGAAGGGAGCUACAGCAGCUGGCCUCAUUGUUAACAAUAGGGUACUGAGAUUUAAUUUGGUACUGCCUUUACCCACAUGUGCAAACUUCACUAUGAGCACUAGCCCAAAACUCCCUGGGGAAGCAGUUCCCUGCUUGAACCCAGUUCUUUACCAGACAGAGCAGCUUCCUCCAAGUUGUUUGUCCUUUCUCCUUGCUUGCUUGUCAAAAGGAGAAGAAAUGGUCUCUUCCGAAAGGCUGAAAGUACAGAUUUUUAUAUAAUUACACCAUUCCAGUUACUUAGGCUUUAUACAAACACACAAAAUUGCAAGUGUUAACAACACCAA